CAGUAGCCGCGGUAAUACAGAGGGUCCGAGCGUUAAUCGGAUUUACUGGGCGUAAAGCGUGCGUAGGCGGCUUCUUAAGUCGGAUGUGAAAUCCCUGAGCUUAACUUAGGAAUUGCAUUCGAUACUGGGAAGCUAGAGUAUGGGAGAGGAUGGUAGAAUUCCAGGUGUAGCGGUGAAAUGCGUAGAGAUCUGGAGGAAUACCGAUGGCGAAGGCAGCCAUCUGGCCUAAUACUGACGCUGAGGUACGAAAGCAUGGGGAGCAAACAGGAUUAGAUACCCCUGUAGUCCCUGUCUCUUAUAC
rnacentral:rRNA from 1 species